CAAUAGCGUAUAUUAAAGUUGUUGCGGUUAAAAGCUCGUAGUUGGAUUUCUGUCGGUGAGUGUCAGUCCGCCCUUCAGUGGUUGGUAUCUGGUUCUUCACCGGCAUCUUCCUGGGGAUUGUGUCUGUUCUUCACUGAAUGGCUCAUAAUCCAGGACUUUUACUUUGAAGAAAUGAGAGUGUUUCAAGCAGGCAUGCGCCGUGAAUACGUUAGCAUGGAAUAAUAGCAUCGGACCUCGUUCCAAAGCUGUUGGUUUCUUGGACCGAGGUAAAGGUGAAUAGGGAUUGUUGGGGGCAUUCGUAUUUAACUGUCAGAGGUGAAAUUCUUGGAUUUGUUGAAGACGGACUACUGCGAAAGCAUCUGCCAAAGAUGUUCUCAUUGAUCAAGAACGAAAGUUAGGUGAUCGAAGACGAUUAGAUACCG
rnacentral:rRNA from 1 species